GACGAAGGUGGCGAGCGUUGUUCGGAAUCACUGGGCAUAAAGCGCACGUAGGUGGUGUCGUAAGUCGGGUGUGAAAUCCCUCGGCCUAACCGAGGAACUGCGCCCGAUACUGCGAUGCUUGAGGAUCAGAGGGGUGCAUGGAAUUUCCGGUGGAGCGGUGAAAUGCGUUGAUAUCGGAAGGAACUCCGGCGGCGAAAGCGAUGCACUGGCUGAUUUCUGACACUGAGGUGCGAAAGCCAGGGAGCAAACGGG
rnacentral:rRNA from 1 species